AUACACACGUAAAAACGCACAACUUGUAACAAACCUGCAGCAGACUUGUAGCAAGUCUGCACCAACAACUUGUUCACAAGAUGUGCUCGCACUGGUUGUCCCAAGCUUGUUGUGACAGACUUGUAGCAACUUGUCGACGGACUUGUAGCAACUCUGUCGUGACGAUGCUGUAGCAAGCUUGUUGGCAUCAAGUUUGUAGCAAGCUUGUCAACUGACUUGGAGCAAGUUUGUUGGAACAAUGCUGCAGCAAGCUUGUCAAAUUCAAUCCGUAACAACCUUGUUUCAUCAAGCUUGUAACAAACAUGGCGACUCGUGAAAAAUCCCGCGGGUAAAAAAAACACGCGUGUGAAUAUCACUUCGCGUGUUUUCCCGGGGGGUGUCAACAAUAAAAAAUAGACAACACAAGUUUGGUGUAAAAAAUCGUAUAUUUUGAAAAGAACAUACAAGGAAUCAAGGAUUAGUAAAUAAAUACAAACUACAGAGUUAAAGUACAAGGUAAGAUUGUUAUAAACAUGAUGCAUAAGAAUUAAUGAUUUUCUAAUUCCCUUGCCAGAAUCUUAACAAAUUAAUGAUUUAUUUUAAACGUUAUUACUCGGUUUCAAAACAGGAUUUUUCUAGAGGACGUAUUAAAUAUAAACAAAAAUACCUCUAGCAAAAUUCUGUUUUGGAACUCAAUUAACUUUUAUAAUUACUGUUGUUCCAAUUGAAGUGUUGCUGAAAUAUUCAUUCAAUACAUUACCUCGGGCUGACCAAUUCAUUUCAUCAAGUUCCUCGAGAUAUUCAUACACUUCCUAGUAUAAUUGUAAACUUCCUGUUGAAUAGUUUGAAUGCACCAAUCACCUUUGUUGUUUGUGCAACUAAGCAAUCAUAAAUAGAAAGGAAGUGACCAGAAAUGAUCAAAUACUUGGAAUUGGUUCUUUCACAGGAAGUGUAUGAAUAUCUCGAGGAACUUGAUCAAAUGAAUUGGUCAGCCCGAGGUAAUGUAUUGAAUCAAUAUUUCAGCAACACUUCAAUUGGAAUGACAGUAAGAUUGAACAAUGAUUACUGUUACAGUAUAAUUAUUCCAAAUUAGCAAGCAAAUUGGAAUUAUGUUGUUAUCAUAUGUGUUUAAUUAUGGGAAAUUUAAUUAUAAAAAAUAAAUUUUUUUAACCAUCACAA